rnacentral:misc_RNA from 1 species
CUCCGCGCGGUGGCGUCUCCGUGCUGUGUGCGCGUUUUCCGGAUGGCGAGAGGAGAAGCAGCCGUGCGGCGUGCCACCGCUGGUGCUGCUGCUGCUGUGGCUGCGUGGAGUGCUAUGAUGAAAAACGUUUCCUUAACGACGAGCGGACCGACACGCACCCAUGCGGACAGUUCGAAUGUGUACAAAUGUUGAGCCUCCCGCCUCCCGCGCCCGUGUCAUCGCCGCUGCACCGUGCGCCUGCAUGCGUGCGCGUGUGCGGCGGGGGACACUGGACAACGACGUCUCUGUCUAACGGGGUGCGACGCUGCUCUGUCGGCGCACCUCGAUUUCAGGAGAUGGAGAUGACGCGGCUGCGGCGGUGGUGCGCGCUGUGCUCGCUGUCACCGCACCUGUCUCCCCCGCCCUCAAGUGCGCGAGGAGAACCGUAGCCGCUGCAACUCCGCUAGGUGAGAUGCCGCGGGUGAUACUUCUCCAAGAGCUCUGUCGCCACCGCCGCGCAUCCACGUCGCUGGGGCGUGUGCGCCUCUGUGCCUGUGUAUGUGUAUGCAUAUGCAUGUGUGUGUGUGCUUGUGUUUGUGUGCCAGCUGCGCUGCCGCGCAGGAUGAGAGACAUUCAACGGAUCCCAAUCAGAGCACUGUGCACUGAAACCCCGUCCUGAUGCUAAUCCGCAAAACAACGGCUGACGCGGCGACGCAGCCGGCCACGGGCACGUGCUGUGAUGUGCCGCGUGACGGAUGGAUGGCAUGGAAAGCAGCGACGGAGCAGUUCUUAGAAUGUUGCAGUCGUAGCAUUUCUCACACCGAGACAGAUGCAGGGAGGUGGUGGCGUGGCUCACAAACGACAUGACGGGAGACUGCCUGCAGAGGCGGCUGCCGGCUCUUGACGCACACAGUUGUCACAGCGCUCUCCAAAGAUGGCGCCUGCGCGCAUGUCGUGGAGUGUAAAGGACCACCCUUUCUGUGAAACAAGCGGGCGCACACGAGAGACAGACGUACCUGGGCUUUCCGUAUUGGCUUUUUUUCUGCUGCUUUAUUCGGGCAUCGGUGUGGACGUAAUCGGCGGUCCUGCUGCAGGGAGGCCGGGGUGCAUCCAGCGGCAUGCGGACGGCUGUGGCAUGCAUCGUUCUGAGGCGUUCGGAGCCACGUGCCAGUCUCGAGACGCAGAAGCUGACCGAAGAAGAAGAGGGAAAGCGAUGCAUCGUGGCGAUCACCUGCUUGUUUCGUACGUUGGUCUUUUCCUCCAACCGUCUUCCAUCCACCACUUCCUUCUCUGCGCCGUCCCCCAGCCCCCCUUUUUCAGUGCAUGUGGCUCCUCCUUCACCGAUCACCUGCACCCCACCUCCCCUUCUUCUUCUAGCGGAUUCGGCCGACUGUGGUGAGCAG